rnacentral:rRNA from 1 species
UACGGGGGGGGCAAGCGUUGUUCGGAAUUACUGGGCGUAAAGGGCUCGUAGGCGGCCAACUAAGUCAGACGUGAAAUCCCUCGGCUUAACCGGGGAACUGCGUCUGAUACUGGAUGGCUUGAGUUUGGGAGAGGGAUGCGGAAUUCCAGGUGUAGCGGUGAAAUGCGUAGAUAUCUGGAGGAACACCGGUGGCGAAGGCGGCAUCCUGGACCGACAUUGACGCUGAAAACCGAAAGCUAGGGGAGCAAACGGG